rnacentral:rRNA from 1 species
UACAGAGGGUGCGAGCGUUGUCCGGAAUCACUGGGCGUAAAGGGCGCGUAGGCGGCCUGAUAAGUAGGGGGUGAAAUCUUGCGGCUCAACCGCAAGGCUGCCUUCUAAACUGUCAGGCUGGAGCACGGUAGAGGCAGAUGGAAUUCCCGGUGUAGCGAUGGAAUGCGUAGAGAUCGGGAAGAACACCAGUGGCGAAGGCGGUCUGCUGGGCCGUUGCUGACGCUGAGGCGCGACAGCGUGGGGAGCAAACAGG